rnacentral:rRNA from 1 species
GACGAACGCUGGCGGCGUGCUUAACACAUGCAAGUCGAACGGAGAGGCCCUGCUUUUGUGGGGUGCUCGAGUGGCGAACGGGUGAGUAACACGUGAGUAUCCUGCUCUUGAUUUUGGGAUAACUUCAGGAAACUGGGGCUACUACCGUAUAGCAUCUCCUGCUGCAUGGUGGGCGUUGGAACUUCUCGGCGGUUGGGGAUGGAUUCGCGGCUUAUGAGUUUGUUGGUUGGGUAGUGGCUUACCAAGGCUUUGACGGGUAGCCGGCAUGAGAGGGUGAACGGCCACAAGGGGACUGAGGGACGGACCAGACUCGUACGGGAGACAACAGGGGGAAAUAUUACACAGUGAGCGGGAGCCUGAUAAGAAAACGCCGCGUGCGGAAAGACGGCCUUCGGGGUGUAAACCGCUUUCGCCUGAGACGAAGCGGGAGUGACGGUAAUGGGUAAAGAAGCACCGGCUAACUACGUG